rnacentral:rRNA from 1 species
GNARUAUGCAAGUCGAACGCUGAAGCUCCAGCUUGCUGGGGUGGAUGAGUGGCGAACGGGUGAGUAACACGUGAGUAACCUUCCCUUGACUCUGGGAUAAGCCCGGGAAACUGGGUCUAAUACCGGAUAUGACCUCCUGUCGCAUGGUGGGGGGUGGAAAGAUUUAUCGGUCUUGGAUGGACUCGCGGCCUAUCAGCUUGUUGGUGAGGUAAUGGCUCACCAAGGCGACGACGGGUAGCCGGCCUGAGAGGGUGACCGGCCACACUGGGACUGAGACACGGCCCAGACUCCUACGGGAGGCAGCAGUGGGGAAUAUUGCACAAUGGGCGCAAGCCUGAUGCAGCGACGCCGCGUGAGGGAUGACGGCCUUCGGGUUGUAAACCUCUUUCAGUAGGGAAGAAGCCUUCGGGUGACGGUACCUGCAGAAGAAGCGCCGGCUAACUACGUGCCAGCAGCCGCGGUAAUACGUAGGGCGCGAGCGUUAUCCGGAAUUAUUGGGCGUAAAGAGCUCGUAGGCGGUUUGUCGCGUCUGCCGUGAAAGUCCGGGGCUUAACCCCGGAUCUGCGGUGGGUACGGGCAGACUAGAGUGCAGUAGGGGAGACCGGAAUUCCUGGUGUAGCGGUGAAAUGCGCAGAUAUCAGGAGGAACACCGAUGGCGAAGGCAGGUCUCUGGGCUGUUACUGACGCUGAGGAGCGAAAGCAUGGGGAGCGAACAGGAUUAGAUACCCUGGUAGUCCAUGCCGUAAACGUUGGGCACUAGGUGUGGGGGACAUUCCACGUUUUCCGCGCCGCAGCUAACGCAUUAAGUGCCCCGCCUGGGGAGUACGGCCGCAAGGCUAAAACUCAAAGGAAUUGACGGGGGCCCGCACAAGCGGCGGAGCAUGCGGAUUAAUUCGAUGCAACGCGAAGAACCUUACCAAGGCUUGACAUGUUCUCGAUCGCCACAGAGAUGUGGUUUCCCCUUUGGGGCGGGUUCACAGGUGGUGCAUGGUUGUCGUCAGCUCGUGUCGUGAGAUGUUGGGUUAAGUCCCGCAACGAGCGCAACCCUCGUUCCAUGUUGCCAGCGGGUUAUGCCGGGGACUCAUGGGAGACUGCCGGGGUCAACUCGGAGGAAGGUGGGGACGACGUCAAAUCAUCAUGCCCCUUAUGUCUUGGGCUUCACGCAUGCUACAAUGGCCGGUACAAUGGGUUACGAUACUGUGAGGUGGAGCUAAUCCCAAAAAGCCGGUCUCAGUUCGGAUUGGGGUCUGCAACUCGACCCCAUGAAGUCGGAGUCGCUAGUAAUCGCAGAUCAGCAACGCUGCGGUGAAUACGUUCCCGGGCCUUGUACACACCGCCCGUCAAGUCACGAAAGUCGGUAACACCCGAAGCCGGUGGCCCAACCCUUG